GAAGGGACCUAGCGUAGUUCGGAAUUACUGGGCUUAAAGAGUUCGUAGGUGGUUGAAAAAGUUGGUGGUGAAAUCCCAGAGCUUAACUCUGGAACUGCCAUCAAAACUUUUCAGCUAGAGUAUGAUAGAGGAAAGCAGAAUUUCUAGUGUAGAGGUGAAAUUCGUAGAUAUUAGAAAGAAUACCAAUUGCGAAGGCAGCUUUCUGGAUCAUUACUGACACUGAGGAACGAAAGCAUGGGUAGCGAAGAGGAUUAGAUACCCUCGUAGUCCAUGCCGUAAACGAUGUGUGUUAGACGUUGGAAAUUUAUUUUCAGUGUCGCAGGGAAA
rnacentral:rRNA from 1 species